UAAAAUUAUGCUAUGCUGUAUUCUACCUUCAGUCUAGUACUUUUCCCCGAUGAUAAUGUAAAUCACUAUGCAGAGUCCCUUCUGUAAAAUGCACACAUUCUGUCUAUCUAAGUAUCUGUUUAUGUCUGUCUAUCACAAAAAUAAAAGCCCUUUGUUAAUAAAUUAAUCUGAAGGUUGAAGAAAGAAACCAUUCCUCCUAGGUUAUAAAGCUUAGUGAGGUUGUGAUUCAAUAGUUUAAAAGCCCAACUAAGUAUCAAUUCUUCCCCCUUGUCAAAUCCUCAGACUGAAAUUUAGAGAGCAAAUGGCAUUACACAGAGAAGAAUGAAUACUGAACAAUACUAAUAAAUGUGCCUGUAAAUUCAUUUAUUAUUUUUGGAAGAGUGUAUCUUUUUUUUAAAUUUCUUUUAUCCAAGAGUUUAUAAAUACAAAUAAUUAGCCAGGUUGUUAAAAUAAGUUUUGUCUUCUUCACAUAUUUAUUUGAAGAGACUAAAUGUUUUUUGUAUUCAAUAGUGAGCAUGCAUAGGUCUCAUGAUUUUGUGCCUGGUUUUCUUCUGACAUUGUAUCAUAUAGGGAAAAACAAAUG
rnacentral:lncRNA from 1 species